GAUCUUUCUUGCUAGUGUAGGUACUGUGUCCACCCCCAGAUGAUCGAACCUCACCUCAUCUACAUUGUUUUGGAGCUGGAGAUUGCUCAACUAAGAAUGGGCAGAUGUCCAGCUUCAACAGUUUCAUCUUGGAGGCCUCUCUAGCUCAAUCCAACAUAAUUCCCUUUCCUCAAGUUGCUCAAGAUGCGAAAAGCAGCCUGGCUAACACCGCCAUCG
rnacentral:lncRNA from 1 species